rnacentral:rRNA from 1 species
GUGGGGAAUUUUGGACAAUGGGGGCAACCCUGAUCCAGCCAUGCCGCGUGCGGGAAGAAGGCCUUCGGGUUGUAAACCGCUUUUGUCAGGGAAGAAAUCCUUUGGGUUAAUACCUCGGAGGGAUGACGGUACCUGAAGAAUAAGCACCGGCUAACUACGUGCCAGCAGCCGCGGUAAUAAGUAGGGUGCGAGCGUUAAUCGGAAUUACUGGGCGUAAAGCGUGCGCAGGCGGUUUUGUAAGAUCGAUGUGAAAUCCCCGGGCUCAACCUGGGAACUGCAUUGGUGAAUGCAAGGCUGGAGUGCGGCAGAGGGGGAUGGAAUUCCGCGUGUAGCAGUGAAAUGCGUAGAUAUGCGGAGGAACACCGAUGGCGAAGGCAAUCCCCUGGGCCUGCACUGACGCUCAUGCACGAAAGCGUGGGGAGCAAACAGGAUUAGAAACCCUGGUAGUCC